rnacentral:sRNA from 1 species
GGACUUUAGAUUAACAAAAACGGAAACUAAAAAACUAAAUAAUUCAUUGGAGCUAGGUCGUGAAAACAUUACAACUUGUGGAGUUUUUGAUUUUAGUAGCACCAACAACACUUGGAGGUAUGUGGUCGCUGCUCCUUGUCUUAUUGAUGGUAGAAAUAAUCUAUUAUAUUUAGAUGGAUCACUCUAUUGGUUCACCAACGAGGAUAUCACAGAAACAAAGAUAUUAUCUUUCGAUUUUCACAUAGAAAAGUUUUAAAUCAUCUCAAAAGCUCCGUUUGGCCAAGCAACUCGUAAGCAUAUCAUCAUGUGUAACCUGAAUAAUCGUCUUUGCGUAUCUCAAAAGAAGUGGUCAAGACAAGAGAUAUGGACAUUAGACAAUUCUGACAUGACAUGGGAGAAAAUAUAUUCGUUUGAUCUGCCAGUAACAGUUGAUUAUCAUUCGUUCUAUGAUGAUAUCUACCCAUGUGUCACUCUGAUCAUGGUUAUGAAGAAUAAGAAAUCAUUACUGCUUUUGGAUACAAAUGUCAAUGAUCACAAUCUUGCUAUAUUCGACCCUGAAAUGAAAUCCUACAAUUUAUGUUUCACACCUGGUUAUUACUCAUAUGCGCUUUCUUGUAAUCAAAGCUUGAUGUCAACUGAAUAAAAACAGUACAUUUCGUUUUCUAAGUAAUUUUUUUUAUAUAUUUGGUCUCCAUGACACUUUUUUGUCCUCAACUUUAGUCGUAAGCAGAAGCGAACCCACGUUAUGGGUGGUGGGGGCAACUGCCACCAAUAAAAUAUAAAUAGUUUACGUUUUUUAAUAAGAUAUAGUAAGUAAAGUAGCAGAAUUGUAAGAAAUGCCCCCACUAAAAGCAAGAGUUAUCGGGUUUAAAGCUAUUUAGAGACAUUUUGCCCCCAUUAAAUAUUUCUGCUGGGUCCGCCCCUGAUCGUAAACCAUAUGUCAGUCUCAUAAGGAUUUGCUUUGUUGUGCUGAAGUAAAUCCGCAAGCUUUUGUUCUCUAACACAAAAGAAAGUCACAUAGUCAUCAUUCCCAGCACUAAACUACUAUUAUUCUACACCACUCGUCUUUACAUUAACGACCUUUACAUUGUCCGUGCUGCUUCUUUAGAACUACUAACCACACUUGUUCUGUUUUGCAUAUGUGAAAGU